GGCGCAGGCGCGCGCCUAAGGGCUUUGCAGGGCUCUCUGAGUCUGAGAGGUCGGAGGCUGCGAGUGUUGCUGCUGAAGGCUGUAGUGGACCCGGCCGGAUCGCGGAUUCUGGGCUAGAAAGCGGAUUUGGAAUCGCACAUUGAGGGUUGGCGCCAGGUGGGGGUGGGAGGAGCCAUGGCUCAGCAGCUGGUUGUUGGGGAUCUGAGAAGUCACCACCUUGAAGAAGUUCGUCGGCUGCGGGAGCCAGGGACCAAGGCAGAGCAGAACCUCAGGUCCUGGGCUCCAUAGACGCCGUCUACACCGCUUCUGGGCACCGAAUCCGGGACGCGGAACCGCCGAAGAUCCACAGGGCGGCUGCCAGGGGCGACGCCGCGGAGGUGGAGCUGCCUGGCGUGCAGGAGCGGAGACCUGGAUGCCCGGGACAAGCCGCACAGAUCCUGGGAGUUCUGAUGAAUCUGCAGUCAGCAUUUUCCACGAACUGUGUGUUGAUUCAUGCCCUAAGCCAGAUGACAACUUCAUUGUUACCACCAAGGUAAAGUGGCCUCUUGUAAAAUUAAUUUUCUCACUCAGUCAAGUUUUGCAUAUUAUUUACUUUUAAAAUUUAGCAGUGGUUUAUCUGUUUUUAUGUUGGUAAUACAAAGUUGGUCAGAGAAAAGCAUAGACAUGGCUAGUUGAUUAAAAAAAAAUUGUUUAAACUUGUUAACUAACAAAGGAUUGAUUAAGUACUGUGAUGGGGUGGGAACUAAUAGAAAAUGAACUGGAAAACACACAGUGACAGGAAAAUCACACUAGAAAAUGCUUUCCCCAAUAAAGGAAAUAUAAAAUUUGGUUAAGGUUUAUUUGGAUAAAUAUUAAUAUUGGCUUUUAAAUCAUACUAGUGUUACUUUCAUACUAUUUAUGCCUGUAUAAAUCUUCAGUAAAUCAAAUUACUUGUAGUUAUCCUGGAAUCUCCCUGGUACUUUUUAUUGGCAAAACUGUACAGCACACAGCAUAUAGCUUUUUUUGGACACUUAUUAUUUUGGUACCAUGUAGUUUUUAAGAGAGAUUUUUUUCUUCUUCUAUUAUUACUCCUGUAGUGAGACGAAAAUAAUAUUAAAAUUUGUAGAAAACUAGCUGAGUAUGGUGGUGUACACCUGUAGUCCCAGCUACUUGGGGGUUUGAGGCAGGAGGAUUCCUUGAGCCUAGGAGUUUGAGAACAGCCAGGGCAACAUAACCAAAUUGUAUCUGCAUUAAAAAUAUAAAUUGUAGAAGUGCAGAAAUUUAAAUUUAUGUUAUGAAACUUUGUAUUACAAAUGGAUUUUUGUGUGUUUUAUAAGUUGCCCAUAGAGGGUAUAUGUAAAACACUUCAUCUAAUGAAUAACAUGUAUUUUACUGCAAAUAAACAGUUAUAUAAGUGGACUCAAUACCAAUAUGGUAAGACUUUAAUACCAUAAUUUUGUCAUUGUAGUUUAUUUUAAAUAUCCACUCAAAGUCUUUAUAUUACAUUCAGAAAUUUAAAAUUUCCGAAUUUUUAUAUUUAGUUGUUUAAAUAAUCACUUGAAUUUCCUGCACACUGAGCUACCGGAGGUCAUAGACAUAUAUGUGUGUAUCCCAGAGUACCUGGAAUACAGUCUUCCAUGUAAGAAGCAUGUAAUUGUUGUGUUUUCGAGAUGGAGUUUCACUCUGUCAGGCUGGAGUGCAAUGGUGGGAAUCUUGGCUCACUGCAGUCUCCACUUCCUGGGCUCAGGUGAUCCUCCCACCUCAGCCAUCCAAGUAGCUGGAACUGUAGGCCUUUGUCACCAUGCUUGGCUGAAUUUUGCAUUUUACGUAGAGAUGGGGUUUUGCCUUGUUGCCCAGGCUGGCCUUUAAGUGUUGGACUCACAUGAUAUGCCUACCUCAGCCUCUCAAAGUGCUGGGGUUACAGGCAUGAGUUGCCACAUUCAGCCUUAAUAGUUGUUUAAUCUGAAUAAAUAGAUGAAUGAAUUUUUAUAUAAUGGAAUGUUAUAAGUAAUAUACAUAAUGUAUCUAUUGAUUAAAUACUGCAGUUUAAAAAUAUUGCUUACAUUUGUAUUUUUUUAAUGUUUAAGGAUGUAUAAGUUUUGAUGUGUUAUUUUUAGAAAUUAUGCCAUAAAAAGAAAUAAAUUAGAAAUAGUCAUUAAUAGCAAAGAGGGUUACAAUAUAUUUUCUAGUAUAAUUCAACUGGAAU
rnacentral:lncRNA from 1 species